CCGCCCAAUCAGGAUAGACAUGAAUAUUGGUAUGAUCCACUGGUGCAGGUGAAGAUGAUUUAUCAGGUUUAGAGGACUUCCCCUCUUCCUUGUUUCCCAUGGUCUAGCACUAGAAGGAUAUUCUUGAUUAAUGUGGAGAAGCAGCACAAUUUUUACUUCCCUAUGUUAAGAAAGCCUAAUCACCUUUAAUUAUCCAAUCCCAAAUCUGCUUCACUUCGCCCUCCGGGAAAUAAGAAAUUAAAAACUGUUAGGAACUUCGAUGGUUGAACUAUCUUCAACUAUUAGCCAAAACUUAAAUUACUUAACAAAAACCAUAGGAGAAACUUCACAGCUUCUGCAUUUUUCUCUCU
rnacentral:misc_RNA from 1 species